AGGACGAACGCUGGCGGCGCGCUUAACACAUGCAAGUCGAACGGGUGUCCUUCGGGGCACCAGUGGCGGACGGGUGCGUAACACGUAAGCGACCUGCCUUCAGGUGGGGGAUAACCCCGGGAAACCGGGGCUAAUACCGCAUGAGCUCCUUGAGCCGCAUGGCUGGGGGGAGGAAAGCUCCGUCACAGGAGCGCUUGAAGAGGGGCUCGCGGCCUAUCAGCUUGUUGGCGGGGUAAUGGCCCACCAAGGCGACGACGGGUAGC
rnacentral:rRNA from 1 species